ACGCUCGACACCUACGGGAGCAGCAGUGGGGAAUAUUGGGCAAUGGGCGCAAGCCUGACCCAGCAACGCCGCGUGAAGGAAGAAGGCUUUCGGGUUGUAAACUUCUUUUGUCAGGGAACAGUAGAAGAGGGUACCUGACGAAUAAGCCACGGCUAACUACGUGCCAACAGCCGCGGUAAUCUGAGCGGGCUGGCAAGGC
rnacentral:rRNA from 1 species